GACGAACGCUGGCGGCGUGCUUAACACAUGCAAGUCGAACGGAAAGGCCCUGCUUUUGUGGGGUGCUCGAGUGGCGAACGGGUGAGUAACACGUGAGUAACCUGCCCUUGACUUUGGGAUAACUUCAGGAAACUGGGGCUAAUACCGGAUAGGAGCUCCUGCUGCAUGUUGUGGGUUGGAAAGUUUCGGCGGUUGGGGAUGGACUCGCGGCUUAUCAGCUUGUUGGUGGGGUAGUGGCUUACCAAGGCUUUGACGGGUAGCCGGCCUGAGAGGGUGACCGGCCACAUUGGGACUGAGAUACGGCCCAGAAUCCUACGGGAGGCAGCAGUGGGGAAUAUUGCACAAUGGGCGGAAGCCUGAUGCAGCAACGCCGCGUGCGGGAUGACGGCCUUCGGGUUGUAAACCGCUUUCGCCUGUGACGAAGCGUGAGUGACGGUAAUGGGUAAAGAAGCACCGGCUAACUACGUG
rnacentral:rRNA from 1 species